UGUUAAGUUUGAGGUGGAAAUGCAGGGC
rnacentral:piRNA from 1 species